AUAAAAAGAUAAGCUAAAUAAGCUUCCAGGUUCAUACCCUGGAUAUAGAAAUUAUAUUCUUCUUUUUA
rnacentral:tRNA from 1 species